CAAUAGCGUAUAUUAAAGUUGUUGCAGUUAAAAAGCUCGUAGUUGGAUUUGUGGUUGGAGUGGUCGGUCCGACACAGUGUGUGGGUACUUGACUUUCUCCGUCCAUCCUUGGGUGGAAUCUGUGUGGCAUUAAGUUGUCGUGCAGGGGAUGCCCAUCAUUUACUGUGAAAAAUUAGAGUGUUCAAAGCAGGCUUACGCCGUUGAAUAUAUUAGCAUGGAAUAAUGAGAUAGGACCUUGGUACUAUUUUGUUGGUUUGCGCACCGAGGUAAUGAUUAAUAGGGACAGUUGGGGGUAUUCGUAUUCCAUUGUCAGAGGUGAAAUUCUUGGAUUUCUGGAAGACGAACUACUGCGAAAGCAUUUACCAAGGAUGUUUUCAUUAAUCAAGAACGAAAGUUAGGGGAUCGAAGAUGAUUAGAUACCAU
rnacentral:rRNA from 1 species